GAUGAACGCUGGCGGCGUGCCUAAUACAUGCAAGUCGAGCGAACGGACGAGAAGCUUGCUUCUCUGAUGUUAGCGGCGGACGGGUGAGUAACACGUGGAUAACCUACCUAUAAGACUGGGAUAACUUCGGGAAACCGGAGCUAAUACCGGAUAAUAUUUUGAACCGCAUGGUUCAAAAGUGAAAGACGGUCUUGCUGUCACUUAUAGAUGGAUCCGAGCUGCAUUAGCUAGUUGGUAAGGUAACGGCUUACCAAGGCAACGAUGCAUAGCCGACCUGAGAGGGUGAUCGGCCACACUGGAACUGAGACACGGUCCAGACUCCUACGGGAGGCAGCAGUAGGGAAUCUUCCGCAAUGGGCGAAAGCCUGACGGAGCAACGCCGCGUGAGUGAUGAAGGUCUUCGGAUCGUAAAACUCUGUUAUUAGGGAAGAACAUAUGUGUAAGUAACUGUGCACAUCUUGACGGUACCUAAUCAGAAAGCCACGGCUAACUACGUG
rnacentral:rRNA from 1 species